GCUUUUAGUAUUUAUACGUAAUGCAAUGUCACUUUGUCAGCUUAACAUAUUAUGCCGUGGUAAUAUUUGGGAAGACACUUCAGAAAUAAAAUGUAUUACCUGUGGAAAUGUGGUAAAACUCGGUUUCUGCUCAGGAAAUCAUUAAUACUUAAGUACUAUGCUUAAGUAGAAUUUCUUCAUGCAAUGUACAUAAAUUGUUGCAAAACUUACUUGUAAUUGUUUUUAUUUAUUCUUAAAAAUCUUAAUUGUUUCUUAACAAGCUUCUUUUUUCGAUUAAAAUAAAGUGGAUUUGGAAUACAUAUAUGGGCUAUAUACAUUUAUAUAUUUGUUAUAAUUACAUUAUAACUGAAAAAUUAUGUAUUGUAAUUCUUUUUUUAAUUGUUUAAUUUAAAUUUUUUUACAUAUGUAUGUAUUAAAUGUGACUUUAAUUUCCGAAA